UCCACUUCUGUUCCUCCCCGCCCUGGUGCUGCUCCGGGUCACAUACUCGUCCUGAGCCGGCUUCAGCCUCUCCGCGCAGAAGUCUCCCGGAGCCGACUUCUGAGAGUCGAGUACUCCUAUGUGAAGACUACCAAGCUCGUGUUCAAGGGAACCAAGGCGAAGAGUAAGAAGAAAAAGAACAAAGAUAAGAAAAGAAAAAGAGAAGAAGAUGAAGAAACCCAGCUUGAUAUGUUGGAAUCUGGUGGACAGUAACAAACUUUGGUGAAAUUUCAGGAACCAUAGCCAUUGAAAUGGAUGAGGGAACCUAUAUACAUGCACUCGAUAAUGGUCUUUUUACCCUGGGAGCUCCACACAAAGAAGUUGAUGAGGGCCCUAGUCCUCCAGAGCAGUUUUCGGCUGUCAAAUUAUCUGAUUCCAGAAUCACCCUGAAAUCUGGCUAUGGAAAAUAUCUUGGUAUAAAUUCAGAUGAACUUGUUGUUGGGCGUUCAGAUGCAAUUGGACCAAGAGAACAAUGGGAACCAGUCUUUAAAAUUGGGAAAAUGGCUUUGUCGACCUCAAAUAGCUGCUUUAUUAGAUACAGUGAAGCAGAGGACAUAGAAGCAAAAAGUAAAACAGCAGGAGAAGAAGAAAUGAUCAAGGUAAUGAUGACAUUUUAUACAGAUGACUGCAUUCACACAUGCGAUGUGACUGUAUCUCUUUAAAAUGUUAAGUCAUCAUUUACAGUCACUUUAAAGAUUUAGUUAAUGGCUUUUUAUAAUGUGGUGUUUCAAAUAGAGUCAUUUUAAAUUAUAAAUCCCAUAGUUGAUGGCUUGUUUAUACAAUGUGGUAGAGAAAUCAGUGCAUCUAGGAGCUACCUUGCCAUUAUCUCCAUGGAUUAGUAUCUUUUUCUGGUAGUUCCACGUGCUCUUUUUAAGCUUUCGUUUUCUUGUUUUCUUGCUUGUACUUUAAAAUCUAAUUUUUAAAAUAGAUAACGUGUACACGUGGUCCAACAUUUUUAAAUAAAAGCAUAUGAAGAUGAAGA
rnacentral:lncRNA from 1 species